UUAUUCAACCGAAAAAACCGUUUUAGAAUAGAAUAAUAAAUAAAUUAUAAAUAUGCAAGUAUUAAGUUGAGGGUAUAAGGUAGUAUGAAGUUUUUCCAAUGAAAGCAUGAUACCAAGCAAGUACAAUUCCUCAUCAGUACACAAAAAGUUAAAAGAAAUAUCUGACAAGAAUAGGAAGAAUAUCAAAUGAAUUAUCAUAAAUCCAACUAAAAAAUAAACAUAGUACUCGGAUAAAUAAAUUUGAUAACAUUAUUAAUAACAAAGUUGGUAGUGGACUAGUGCUAGAAAGGCUUCACCAAAUGAAGGUGCAUACAGGCUUUAAGAGACAAUAGACUCGGAUUUGUGCAGUAGCAUUUUGGAUGAGUUGUUUUGAAGACCAUUUGGUAAAACUAAGCUUUGAAUAGGUACAAUACAGGCUUCACCAAAUGCUCAUAACACCCAGAAAGACAGUUUCUCAAGAUACAUAAAUAAGUGCACAUCCUCUGAAAAUAAUCAUCUGAAUCAGUAUAAGGCAGGAAAAAAUGACCAUAAGUCUCUUUACCCAAGUCAAAAUAAACAACCAUAUCUGAACUCAACAAUUUGACAAAUUAAAACAACAGCAGCCCAACAAUUUAGCAAAUUAUCAACUUAACGAAUUCAAGAACAGAAAAUCACAACAAAAACAAAAAAAAAUUAAAAGUAACAGAAGAACACAAGAACAAUUUGCAAAUUAACAAGUUCACAGUAACAGUUAAAAUUUACC